rnacentral:tRNA from 1 species
GGGCCCGUAGCUCAGUUAGGCAGAGCGUUGGGCUCCAGAUAAUCUUUGGGUCUUCCGACCAUAAAGGGAUGAUAUAUAUCUGGAGCGGGAGAGACCCAAAGGUCGCGGGUUCAAAUCCCGUCGGGCCCA